UACGUAGGAGGCAAGCGUUGUCCGGAAUUACUGGGCGUAAAGUGCGUGUAGGCGGAUGCCUAAGUCUGUGGUGAAAGCGCCUGGCUUAACCGGGCGAGGUCCAUGGAAACUAGGCGUCUGGAGGCCGGUAGAGGGGGGUGGAAUUCCGGGUGUAGUGGUGAAAUGCGUAGAGAUCCGGAGGAACACCAGUGGCGAAGGCGGCCCCCUGGGCCGCGCCUGACGCUGAGACGCGAAAGCCAGGGGAGCAAACGGG
rnacentral:rRNA from 1 species